rnacentral:rRNA from 1 species
UACAGAGGGUGCAAGCGUUAAUCGGAAUUACUGGGCGUAAAGGGUGCGUAGGUGGUAAAGUAAGUUAGGUGUGAAAGUCCCGGGCUCAACCUGGGGAUGGCGCUUAAUACUGCGGUACUAGAGUACUGUAGAGGGAAGUGGAAUUUCCGGUGUAGCGGUGAAAUGCGCAGAUAUCGGGAAGAACACCCGUGGCGAAGGCGGCUCUCUGGGACGGUACUGACGCUGAGACGCGAAAAGCGUGGGGAGCCGAACAGG